CAAUAUCAUUAAACCACCACCGCCACAUCUCACCCCCACCUACCCCAACAACAACCGUGCACAGCACCACACCACUUACCCACCACCGCAAUCGUAGCAUCAUAGUAACACAUCAUCGCUAGUGUCAUUCCCACCUCAACGACCACAGCCAACAUCACUACUAUUACAGCCACCGCUAUCGCUACCGUCGCCGUCCCCAGUAGUGCCAUCGCCACGACAUCAAAAUUACCACUGUCAAUUUCACAAUCUCAGAGUCACCGACACACCAUUGUCUAGCCAUCUCACGAUCUCAAAAAAAUCGUUGCGUGCGAUCUCAAAAUCAUCCCUACACAAUCGUCUAGCCAUUUCACAAUCUCGAAUCAAAGUUGCGAUGCUUAGAUCGGCCGUGCACAUUAGCAAUUUGAAAAGUGCCACUGCACGACUUCUCUACACCACACUGCGCCCAGAGCGACUUCUUUCUCUGACAUCGCUGCAUAGUCGUCGUUGUGAGCAGAAGAGUUAGAAACGAGAGAGAGAAUUGG
rnacentral:lncRNA from 1 species